GCCCGUCUGGCGGAAUGGCAGACGCACUGGUUUCAGAAACCAGGGUCCUUCGGGACGUCCGGGUUCGACCCCCGGGGUGGGCACAA
rnacentral:tRNA from 1 species